GAUGAACGCUGGCGGCGUGCCUAAUACAUGCAAGUCGAGCGAACAGACGAGGAGCUUGCUCCUCUGACGUUAGCGGCGGACGGGUGAGUAACACGUGGAUAACCUACCUAUAAGACUGGGAUAACUUCGGGAAACCGGAGCUAAUACCGGAUAAUAUAUUGAACCGCAUGGUUCAAUAGUGAAAGACGGUUUUGCUGUCACUUAUCGAUGGAUCCGCGCCGCAUUAGCUAGUUGGUAAGGUAACGGCUUACCAAGGCAACGAUGCGUAGCCGACCUGAGAGGGCGAUCGGCCACACUGGAACUGAGACACGGUCCAGACUCCUACGGGAGGCAGCAGUAGGGAAUCUUCCGCAAUGGGCGAAAGCCUGACGGAGCAACGCCGCGUGAGUGAUGAAGGUCUUCGGAUCGUAAAACUCUGUUAUUAGGGAAGAACAAAUGUGUAAGUAACUAUGCACGUCUUGACGGUACCUAAUCAGAAAGCCACGGCUAACUACGUG
rnacentral:rRNA from 1 species